rnacentral:rRNA from 1 species
GACGAACGCUGGCGGCGUGCUUAACACAUGCAAGUCGAACGAAAAGCGACGGAAGCUUGCUUCUUACAGUCUUAGUGGCGCACGGGUGAGUAACGCGUAAUCAACCUGCCCUUCUGGGGGGGACAACAGUUGGAAACGACUGCUAAUACCCCCUACGAUCUAACCUCGGCAUCGAGGAUAGAUUAAAGGUGGCCUCCACAUGUAAGCUCUAACUGAAGGUGGGGAUUGGGUCGGGUUAGGUCGCUGGAGGGGUAACGGCCCACCAAGGCGAAGGUCAGUAGCCGGGCGGAGAGGAAGGACGGCCACAUUGGGACUGGGGCACGGCCCAGGACUCCACGGGGGGGAGCAGGGGGGAAACUUCCGCAAUGGAGGAAAGGCUGACGGCGCAACGCCGCGGUAGGGAUGGAGGCCUUCGGGGUGGAAAGGCCUGUUAAUCGGGACGAAAGGCCUUCUUGCGAAUAGUGAGAAGGAUUGACGGUACCGGAAGAGAAAGCCACGGCUAACUACGUG